GUUUAGCUACUAGCUUAUAGGGUCAAAAUAAGGUCUUAAGUGGGGCCCAAAUGGAGCUCUCUCCACUUCAACUCUGAAAGGAGGUGACGGUAGACCACGACUGCUAGUUCAUGAAUACCCUUAGAUGCGCACGAUAAAACUAAAUGUGCGCAUGUUAAGGGUUUGCAUGAGGUGGGAGACGAGGCUACUUUGAUCUUUUUGGUAUUGGAGUGAAGGGAGCUCCAAAUGGUCUUCCAAACUUUGCUUUUUUUUUUCUUUCUUUUUAUUGAACCUCCUCCCCUGACUCAAACAAAAGCAUGGUGGUGAUCAAACUUUCUGCACAUUUGGUAAAGUCAAGAAUGCCCCAAUUGUCUACUUGCAUUACAAUGUGCAUAUAUGCCUAGAUCGAUAUAUACCAAGUAUUGACAGCAGCCACUUUACGAAGCACCAAGACUCAGCGGCUGCACCGUGCAGAUGUGAUUUCGAUUUUGCCAGAAGUCUUCAUGGCCUAGAAUUAGAACAGAGCUUUUACUUUGUUUGCAUAACAGACAUGUUCCUUCCAACAGCCCAUUUUUCAUGCGACAUCCAUAUUAUUUUUUCGAUGUUCGAUUA